rnacentral:rRNA from 1 species
UACGUAGGGAGCAAGCGUUGUCCGGAAUCAUUGGGCGUAAAGCGCGCGUAGGCGGCCCUGUAAGUCCGCUGUGAAAGUCAAAGGCUCAACCUUUGAAAGCCGGUGGAUACUGCAGGGCUAGAGUCCGGAAGAGGCGAGUGGAAUUCCUGGUGUAGCGGUGGAAUGCGCAGAUAUCAGGAGGAACACCAAUAGCGAAGGCAGCUCGCUGGGACGGUACUGACGCUAAGGCGCGAAAAGCGUGGGGAGCGAACGAGG